GCCGCACUCACGCUCGAGAACCUCACGUUCUUUAAUGUUAUGAUUGGCGCGGUUGUCUGGAUUUGGAAGUGGUGAACAAGAGAAAAGUUACUAUCUCACUUGAAGACAAUGGAUUACUGCUGGUGUAUAUAUGUAAAAUUACUUACUGGUGGUCUUACUUUCAGAUCGCAAGUUUGUCCGAAUCAGACUGGAAAAGAAUUGCUUGGACAUUCUUGGGUAUUGUGGUCCUGUGAUUUUUUAAUAUGCUUAGACACUGUGAGUAGCUAAAUGGUAGGGACAUGUAAGAGUGCAUUCUAAUUUUUGGCUUAGGCCUGGCUAGCCCAUUAUGUCAUCAUCUUCUUUGGGUUGCAGGUUCCUUGCCUUCUGUUAAAAUAGUGUUGUUUCUGUGGAGCAGGUAAAAGAGGAGUCCUAUUUUUGGUUCAGGUUUCUUGCCAAUAAUUAUCCUUUUGGCUGCAUCGUGUUCUUCCGGCAACUAUGUUAAUUGCUCUGAGAUGGGAUUUCUUCUGUUCUGUAUAUGUACGGAGGCUUCGUAUGUCUUCUUACUUAUAACCCUGAUUGGUAUGCAGGUUCCUGUUUUUUUUCUUGAUCUAGCUCUGCUCAUUUCAAUUGUUUGUUUUGCUUCCAUAUCCUCUUGUUUUGGUACCUGACAAGGUGUUUAGUCUUUUCCUCUUUUCUCUCAAAAAUUGGGUGUUACAUGAUUUUUUUGGUAAAUCUUUGUGAAUUGAUGUAACUGAAUAAGUGAAUAAGCAUUCAGAAGUUGUGAAAUACAAUACGAGUUUUUUUGGGGUAAAUCUGCAUGUUAGAAAAUGC